rnacentral:rRNA from 1 species
AGAGUUUGAUCAUGGCUCAGGAUGAACGCUAGCUACAGGCUUAACACAUGCAAGUCGAGGGGAAACGACAUCGAAAGCUUGCUUUUGAUGGGCGUCGACCGGCGCACGGGUGAGUAACGCGUAUCCAACCUGCCCACCACUUGGGGAUAACCUUGCGAAAGUAAGACUAAUACCCAAUGACGUCUCUAGAAGACAUCUGAAAGAGAUUAAAGAUUUGUCGGUGAUGGAUGGGGAUGCGUCUGAUUAGCUUUGGUUGGCGGGGUAACGGCCACCAAGGCGACGAUCAGUAGGGGUUCUGAGAGGAACGGUCCCCCANAUUGGAACUGAGACACGGUCCAAACUCCUACGGGAGGCA